UACGGAGGAUGCAAGCGUUAUCCGGAUUUAUUGGGUUUAAAGGGUGCGCAGGUGGUUUAAUAAGUCAGUGGUGAAAGUCUGCCGCUUAACGGUAGGAUUGCCAUUGAUACUGUUGGACUUGAAUAUGGAUGAGGUAGGCGGAAUGUGUAGUGUAGCGGUGAAAUGCUUAGAUAUUACACAGAAUAUCGAUUGCGAAGGCAGCUCACAAAGCCAAGAUUGACGCUGAGGCACGAAAGUGUGGGGAUCAAACAGGA
rnacentral:rRNA from 1 species